rnacentral:lncRNA from 1 species
GAAAGCUCGGGUUUCCUUGUGUGAAAGUAAGGAAGAAGGGGAGCCCUCACCUCGAUGUGAUUUCAGAACAAAACGAGGGCAGGGACCUGGGUGCAGGAGUUUAAAACCCACCUUCAACCCAAGAUUCAAUUACUACAGAAAAGUGCUCCUGCUCAAACUUCAUGAGACUGCACCCUGGGACCGACCACGCUGCCAGCCAUCAGCUACAGGCACUGCCUGGUUGCAAAGGGGAGCGACGCUCAUCCCCCUCCUCAUCCUCAGGAGGAGCUGUGCAGUCCCAGAGCUCAGGAAAUCUCGUUCUUCCUUUCCUAGCCACUCCUGACCCACUGCAUGGCCCUUCGUGGGCAAUACAGCCACUCCAUCACUCACUUUUUUGCUUCAAAAAUCAGGGAAACACCAGCUAACUUGUUCAUGGGGUAGGGUUGUAAGGCUGCAUCUUCUACUGGAGCACUGACUAACCCUCCAUAUAUUAUUCGAUACAUUCACAAACAGGAUUUUAGGACACAUUUCUAUAAUCAAGAAGGUGCACCCCGUUCUGCAGUCCUCAAUCCUGCCUGUUAAAGCUACGAAAACUGUGAAUCCGUACCUCCCAGGAGAAGAGCACCUCCAAAGAGCAGCACGUUGGAAGAGCUGCCCGAUGAAACAGCCCCUGUCAUAAGCACCAAAUAUAUCACAGAUGCAAACAGACCCCAAGCCCAGACCUCGGGAGCCAGUUGCCGAGAUGCCUUUGAGGAUCUGGGCCUAAGGGCUCAUUCCAACCAGCUGAAGUCAAUGGGACCGUCCCUAUAUAUAAGUUGUGGCUGGAUGGGAGCCAAGGGCUCAGCAUCUUGCAGAACUGGCUCUCGUGAUGCCGCAUUCCUUGAGAGCUGGGAAAGAGAGCAGGGCGACACACAGCAGAAAGUGCCCGUCCGUAUUACCGGGUAUUAGCCACCGCCUCCGAAGGCCUGAUCUGUGUAAAAAGGUUUUUGGCCCAGCACCGGCGGCUUCCCAGCAGAGGCAGAAAUUUCCCACGGCCGCCACGCCGCGAGCACACGGAGGAGCUGAAACAACGGGGCGGGCUGAAGCAAUGCAUCGAAUACCGGAGGGAAAAGAGCAGAAGGGAGCUGGAAAGCACUUUGUUCAAACUUUUAAUUAUUUUAGCUCACUCGCAGUCUGCAUGGCACAAAGCUGUGUUUCCAUGUGAUCGCACCGAGCUUCCAGAGCACCACUUUCUUGCUGCAGCUCCGGCGGCACGGAGCGGUUUCCCCACGACGCUCGCAGAUGUGAGCUCUGCUCCCCACACGUUGUGGCUGGAAGCUGAAACCAAAAAACGCCCAGGCGCUCACGUCGUGGCAGCUUUCGGCUUCCACACUGACACCAGGCUUGCCUAAAACUGCUUGCAUGGCAGAAAGCACUUUUCCCUGGAUCCACAGAGCUGCUGAUGAGAAAAACUCCUAAAUCUUGCUUACACGUUUCCAAUGA